UCCUCGUGGUUCUCGAUCUCAAUAUUAGGUGGCAGAUAUUACACUCUUCCAGGAAAAGAUGACUCUCGAUAAGGCUCCAACAGAGAAAUAUGAAAGACUAGAUGUACCUUCAUAGAAGCCGAUAAUUCCAAACGGUACGCCACUGGAUUGAUUUGCUUUUGGAUGAUAAAUAGUCCCAAUCUUUGAUAGUCCAACUUAUCACAUG
rnacentral:lncRNA from 1 species